UAAAUACUCCCUCCGUCCGAAAAUACUUGUCAUCAAAAUGGAUAAAAAGAGAUGUAUCUAAAACUAAAAUACGUCUAGAUACAUUUCCUUAUAUCCAUUUUAAUGACAAGUAUUUCCGGACAGAGGGGUUAUUUG
rfam:Triticum aestivum genome assembly, contig: Triticum_aestivum_CS42_TGACv1_scaffold_330229_4BS